UACAGAGGUCCCAAGCGUUGUUCGGAUUCACUGGGCGUAAAGGGUGCGUAGGUGGUGUGUCGCGUCUGCCGUGAAAGCCCGGGGCUUAACUCCGGGUCUGCGGUGGAUACGGGCAGACUAGAGGCAGGUAGGGGAGAACGGAAUUCCCGGUGUAGCGGUGAAAUGCGCAGAUAUCGGGAGGAACACCGGUGGCGAAGGCGGUUCUCUGGGCCUGUACUGACGCUGAGGAGCGAAAGCGUGGGGAGCGAACAGG
rnacentral:rRNA from 1 species